CAUGCCUAAGCCUCAAGUGGAAGAGGAGGAACAAUGGAGAGCGCCUCCACAGUGAGCCUCUUUCCUCAUACAGGUCCAUGUGGGCUAUUUUGGGGCAAAUCUUCAGGCAAGUUUCUAGAGAAACUGAAGGAAAACACCAGAGGGGGCUGCCCAGGUAAUGCUGACAAUACAGGGAGGUGGGAGGAUGAGCAGAUCUCAAAGGUGACUGAGAGGCAGAGGGGAGAGACAAGGAAAAACCAAAGUAAAGUGAAGUUAGGGAAACCAAGAAAAGACUUUCCAAAAGCAGUGGUCAGCGGGGUCAAAGGUCCCUUCAGUGGGCGGUACAGCAGGAAGUGGGGGAGAAGCAGGAACCGGGAAUGCUGGAGGUGGGGAUGGGAGGCAAAAGGCUUGGCUCUGUCCCUAAACAGAGAGAAGGUGCCCUGGGAAAAGCGGGGAGGCUAACUACACAGGGAAGAGAAGCUUCCUGGAGAAAGGGAUCCAGGGCACAGGCGGUGGAAGGGAUUGGCCUCAAGAGACCAGGAAGAACUCUUAUUUUUCCUGACAGAGGAAGUAGGAUGGGUCUGGUGGCAGGCAAGUCCUGGAGUGCUGUGCAGAAGGGAAGUGAGGCAGCUUAUGCCUGAGAGCCAGGCGUGUUGAUUGCUCACGGGGAGCCGUACAUCUGUAAAGGCAGCCAGCGGCUGGCUGAGUGAUCUGGCUUAGCCUGGGCUGGGAAGCACCUCCGCACACUGGCUCAAGAAAUUAGACCUAUUCUUCUCGCUGCUCUUACCAAGCCUUUUCCCAAGUGCGUGCCCAGAAGGAAAGCGGCCACUCUUCUACUUCUCUUGUGCCUGCAAGAGAAGUAGAACCCCACCCUGAGCAUUCCAUGAUUAUGCCAGGCCUUUCUCACUCCACCCAGUCCCUCCAGCCCCUCUGCCCUCAACUCCAGCACUGCAGGGGAAGAGAGUGUCUACUCCACCCCCACCAGGCAGGGGAUUUUAAGCACCUGCUGGGCCCUCAAGUCUCAUCUUCCUCCACAACAUCUGUGAGAAGAUUGAAAGGUGGUGAGAGAAAGGGAUUGGAGGAGAUGAACGUGUGAAAGGAAAAGAGGAGAGCAAGCCAUUGUAUGUUUUGGGGUUUUGUCCCACACGCAAAUUUGACUACUUAUAAAGUCUAAGCAAGAUGUUUUAAAUAAUAAUCAUGCAUCAUUAGGUUUCAUACUGUGCAAAAAAAUGACACAAAGUGAGAUCUGUUACAAACGACACGGCAGCACUCUGCUACUUUCUGGAAGCUUAGGGCUAACAAUGGAGUCAGAGCAUGGCAUUCAGAGCCCGUCUCUGAGCACGGCCGUGAUCCUGCUCCAGCACACGCCUCAGUUUCCUCGUCUACAUUACGGGAAUAGUAACAGCACCCGCCUCAUGAGAUUGUUAGGGUUAAACGAGUUAAUUAAUAUCACAGUAUUUCAGGGCAGUUCUCGGCACAGAGGGAGAGAUGGGUAAGGGCUGGCUGUUCCGGAAGAUUCUGGCCUCUCCCAGUGUGUUUCGGCGCGGGGGCACGGCUGGCCCAGCAGGUGGCCCCCCGGGGCCAGCACGGGCCCCGACAGCCGCCCCCUUCCCUGAACCUCGGCGGCCCAGUCCCCGCUUACCUGAGGGGUGGAGCCGGCAGCCUGCGGAGCCACUGGCCAAGCUGGGAAGUCCGGCGCAACUCCGCACCGCAGAGCCGGCGCCUCCUCGGCAGACAGAAUCUCCACUCAAUACACCAGAAAACAGAGAGUAUCUUGCAGAAAUUAUGUUUGAAUCAUUUAACGUACCAGGACUCUACAUUGCAGUUCAGGCAGUGCUGGCCUUGGCGGCAUCUUGGACAUCUCGACAAGUGGGUGAACGUACGUUAACGGGGAUAGUCAUUGACAGCGGAGAUGGAGUCACCCAUGUUAUCCCAGUGGCAGAAGGUUAUGUAAUUGGAAGCUGCAUCAAACACAUCCCGAUUGCCGGUAGAGAUAUUACGUAUUUCAUUCAACAGCUGCUAAGGGAGAGGGAGGUGGGAAUCCCUCCUGAGCAGUCACUGGAGACCGCAAAAGCCAUUAAGGAGAAAUACUGUUACAUUUGCCCCGAUAUAGUCAAGGAAUCUGCCAAGUAUGAUGUGGAUCCCCGGAAGUGGAUCAAACAGUACACGGGUAUCAAUGCGAUCAACCAGAAGAAGUUUGUUAUAGACGUUGGUUACGAAAGAUUCCUGGGACCUGAAAUAUUCUUUCACCCGGAGUUUGCCAACCCAGACUUUAUGGAGUCCAUCUCAGACGUUGUUGAUGAAGUAAUACAGAACUGCCCCAUCGAUGUGCGGCGCCCGCUGUAUAAGUGGCCGAUACGACAUGGAAUCAUUGAAGACUGGGAUCUUAUGGAAAGGUUCAUGGAGCAAGUGGUUUUUAAAUAUCUUCGAGCUGAACCUGAGGACCAUUAUUUUUUAAUGAAAUGGGAUCUUGCUCUGUUGUCCAGGUUGGAGUUCUGUGGCACAAUCCUAGCUCACUGCAGCCUCGGACUCUGGACUCAGUUGAUCCUCCCACCUCAACCUCCUGAGUAGCUCGGACCACAGGCCAUCCAGGACAUGUGCAAGCCAGCGACACUACGGGCAGUUCUGGGAGCCAGUUUAUAUACCAACUCCUGAUGGUACGUCCAGCCUGCUGCCCAGGAAGGAAGCCAGUGCUGGCACCUGGAAGGCGCCUGGCGUGUAUGGGAGCACCAAGAGCAUGGGGAGGUGCACUGCAGCAGGCAGCACAGACCUACAGUCUGUUAUCACAGUCUCGCUCUCUGUAAUAAGCACGUUAAUAAGGACUCUGGUCAUCUGCCCUCAUCUUCCAGUGCUACAAGUCAAGCAAAACUGUGGUGCCUGCAAGCUGAUUUCAUUCCCGGAAGCCCAAAGCUUUACCAGCAGGUCACUUCCAGCACACAGAUAAGGAGAUUAGCCACGCCUCUCACUUCACCUCCAGCUCCUCACUGUUCCAGAAUUACCAACUAUCCUAUUUCUGUUCAAAGCAGCCAAAAUUAACUGACGGCUGCUCUUUGAGGGCUUCUGCAGGGAGCGUGGACCCUAUGGCCAGCAGGGGCAGCACCUCCCUCCCUCCCUCCACUAAAAACCUCUGGCGUCCCUGUUACAGAAUGGAAUGUGCUAGAUCUCUCAGGGAUGUUGAGGUACGAAACAGUUCGGGAAGACAGAACCAGAAGACGGUUCGGGAAGCCUGGGAUCAGAGUGGAGAACGACAGAGCUCUUCGGCAUGGUCCUUUGGUUUCCGAAGCAGUGCCUGGCACCUCAUGAUGGCUCAAUGCUCGUCAUUCAUUGCCACUAUGAAAUAUUCCUGAAGGGCGUUUCCUCCAGGCUGCGGUAUUGUCUGGAGAAUUAUCGUGGCUCCCUGCUCAAGCCUAUGACUCUAGGGCCACCAUCUCUGACCUUGGCACCAUCCACCCCCAGCAAUGCGCAGAUUGGACGAGGGCUCGCUAGAGACUUCAUCCUGCACGCAGGCGCUGCCCUCUGUUGGCCAUACUCUUUGUGUGCAGCUUAACUUUUCUUGGUUACCUUUACUUUUUUUUCUCAGUGGCUUUGUCCUCUGUCUCAGCGUGGCCUCCAAGGCCACUUCCUGCUCUGCCACUUGGUAUGGUUCAGGGCUGCCCUGCUCUCCGUCACGGCCCAUUUUUAGAGCUUUUUUGCAUCGUGUAGGUUCGUGAGCAUCUGUGUCAGAGGCUGAUAUUUACUGAUGUGCCUCCCACAUUGGGGAUGGUGUUGGGGGCACGGGUGGGGUUUGAAACUGAUAACUCUAACAGAAGUUGGGUACAUAGUGACUGCGUCCAAACCCCUGCACCAAGAGACUGGACCACCCUAACAUGGCUUCUGGCAGCCCAAAGUGGCAUCCCUGGGACCACCUGGCCACCCUUUGAGUUCCUGUCUGAAAAAGCUCAAGGCCGUCAAAAUCAUUUAGUGUUUGUUCCUACCAACACCUGACAACAGGCCUCUGACCACCCCCUCACUUUCUUAGAGCAUUUACGUUAAAAACACUUAAGAGUCGUACCGCCUUCCCUCGUCCCUUUGAGAUGUACAUGCGUGCGUGUCCAGGAGUGUCUUUCUCAAGAGCCUGAGAGCCAGUCCUUUGAAAUGGCAUCAUCAGGAAGGAUGGGGCCUGUCUCCCAGGCUCUGGGGGAGGCCAGAACCUAACUUCCAUCACUGCCAGCUGGCACACACAGCUGGCCCGGCCACAAUAACACAGACAGCCCUUUGUAAUUUUUCACUCCCAUGAUUCCUGAGCCCUGGAAUGCCCUUUCCCGACUCCUACGUUCUCCCAUUAAACUGUCCAGUCCCCCUGCACAGAUCUGAAUGGAGCUCAGCUUCUCCCCUGUCAGUGGUUAAUGAAUAAGAUCUGUUUUCGUAGCUUUAACUAAGGUCCAGCUUAGUUUAUCUUUGACAGACCUACUUACCCUGCAGGUUCCCACCUCGGGCCUGGAGGGAAAGCCUCUGGGAGGAACACGGUCCUCACCAAAGGGUGGGAGACCAGAUCGUGCCAGGGAGUGGAGUGGACAUGAGCUCUGGGACCCUCUCCUCUCUCCCGGAAUGGCUGCACAGGAAGGAAGGAUGGAAGACGUGAGAAAGGCCACCCUGCCUGGGAAGGAGCUACCAGCCCUCAGCAGUCCAGAGGCUGCCCAGAGAGCAGGGAGCAGCUCUCCAGGACUCCACCUCCCAGGCCCAGAGGAUGCCACCCAGGGGGCUCAGUGAGAAUUCAGCCACAACCACACACAUCCCGGGAGAGUGUCUAAAGAUGCCACCAAUCCAAUAUCACAGAAGGCAAGAACCCAAAGAGCAGAAGCCGAGACAAGGAAGUAGCCAUUUUGGAUACAUGCCCCCCACCCCAAUCCUGGGCCAACGUGGAUCUUCAGCAUCCUGAACCUGAAGCCCCCAUGGUGGGCCUGUGGCGGGCUGGGUGUGGCUUCAGAGAUGCUGGGCCAAAGCAGAUCUUCAGCAUCCUGAACCUGAGGCCCCCAUGGUGGGCCUGUGGCAGGCUGGGUGUGGCUUCAGAGGUGCAGCGGCAGGAACUGGCAGAGUGGUUCCCCCAGGCCCAGGGCUGACCCACAGCGACAUGGGAAAAUGGGCCCAGUAGGUCCCUCCUUGUUUAGCUCCCUUUGGUCUUUCCAGGUCCAGCUUCACUGGGUCCACGGGGUCCCCAUCCUGAGGUCACUGUGUUUCUCACCCCCCACCUGCCCACUCGCUCCCAGCCCACUGCAGUCUGACUUUACUGCCCAUCACCAAAGAUGCCAGCUGACCUUGACUUCUUGGGGGUAGAGGACAAUGGGGGUCUGUGUUACCUCAACCACUCUAUCCUGUUGAACCUCUCAUCCUCCUGAGUGACACUCACCUGGUUGUCUUCCGGCUACCUGCAACCUCCCGGCAUCCUCCACAGGCCACCUUCACCCACCCACCCCGUGAACUCACACUCCUUGGGGUUCUCUUCUGGGUUUAUCUCACUCUGAACCCCCUGUGCAACCUGCACCCCUCAGGGAUCACCGGUUAUUUAUGCCGAUGGCUCCAACUCUGCCUCCUGCAGCCUCAUCUUCCUCCUGACCAUCCGCCCCCCCACCCAGCCAGCCACUACCUACACUUCCACCGGGUGCCCUGGACACACACGACUCACCAGGAAACAAAGGAACACCUCAGCUCCCACAGCCACUCUCAGACCUGCCCCUGCUGCACUCCCCACCACGGGCAGCCUCGGUCUCUAUGGGUCACAGCCAAGCAGCUCCCCCCUCGCUUCUCUGUCCUCACCACUUCCACCAGGGGCCCUAAUAAAGAUGUCAAACCAGCCUGCCGUCCACUGUGCAGCUUGUAGAGAUAAUGCUAGAAAUCCAGUUGGCCAUGUCACGGCCCUGCUUUAAAUCCCUUUCACGGCUCCCAUGGCCCUUGGGAUCCAUCCAAGCUCCUCAGCUGGCUUUCCGCCCUCAGUGCUCUGGUGCCUCCAUUGUGCGUCUUCCAGUCCCGCCCCACCCUCCUGUCCCUCCAGGGAAGUUCUUUCAGCUCUGCCCUGGGCUACAGGCUGGGCUGGAGGGCUGGGCUCCCUCUGCCCACUUCCCCACUGGACCUGCAGCGAGACGUGCUGGCAGAUCCCAGCCCUAGGCUAUUUCAUGAAGGAGGCUUUGAAGCCUCUGGCGACCUGCUUCACUGCAGGAGUCCUGCACUGUGUCCUCUGGGGCCCAGACGAGUGGUGCUCAAAGCUGCACUUGAACAAGUCCUCGAUCUUCCUGCCAGGCCUGGUUCUCCGCUGAAUCCAGGCAGUCAGCAGGGGGCCGGAUUUUCCUCCAGAUCUCAGGAAAGUAGUCCUGGAUAUCUGUGUUCAUAACUGCAGCUCCCAGAAUCCUUCCCUGCUCCCCUCCCCAGACCCACCCACUGGAGAAACAAGACUCAGGUGGGCGGGGCAGGGGACCUGCACACAGGCAGAGGCCAGGGCUUUGUCACCAAACAGUAAUCUUUUCAUCACCAUUAUUUAUUAUAUAUGAACCAGGUUUUCAGCACAAGUCACACUCAACACCCUUACCCAACAGGAGGGGCGACGGAGGCUCAGAGAGGGAGUGUAGGGGGAGGA